rnacentral:pre_miRNA from 1 species
UAAUCACUCCCUCCGUCCAACAAAAGAUGUCUUAAGUUUGUCAAAAUUUGAAUGUAUUUAGACAUGACUUAGUGUAUAGAUAUAUUUAAAUUUAAAGUUGAGACAUCCUCUGUUGGACAGAGAGAGUAUAUG